rnacentral:rRNA from 1 species
GCCUACGGGGCGCAGCAGUAGGGAAUCUUCCACAAUGGGCGAAAGCCAGAUGGAGCAACGCCGCGUGGGUGAAGAAGGUCUUCGGAUCGUAAAACCCUGUUGUUAGAGAAGAAAGUGCGUGAGAGUAACUGUUCACGUUUCGACGGUAUCUAACCAGAAAGCCACGGCUAACUACGUGCCAGCAGCCGCGGCAAUACGUAGGUGGCAAGCGUUAUCCGGAUUUAUUGGGCGUAAAGGGAACGCAGGCGGUCUUUUAAGUCUGAUGUGAAAGCCUUUGGCUUAACCGGAGUAGUGCAUUGGAAACU